rnacentral:rRNA from 1 species
GAGGAGCCCAGCGCCGAAUCCCCGGCCGUCAUCGGUCGAGGGAAAUGUGGCGUUAAGGAGUGAGCGUGCCGGCGGAGGCCGAGGCGGCAAGUCCCCCUGACCGGGGCCUGUCCGUAGCGGGUGCGAGACCCAUAGCCGCCUCGCCGACGCCGGAAUGCGAUCUCCCUGGAGUCGGGUUGCUUGGGAGUGCAGCCCUAAGCGGGUGGUAAACUCCACCUAAGGCUAAAUACCGCCGUGAGACCGAUAGCAAACAAGUACCGUGAGGGAAAGUUGCAAAGAACUUUGAAGAGAGAGUUCAAGAGUACGUGAAACUGCUCAGAGGUAAACGGGUGGGCCCUCGAAUUCCUGUGGCGAGAGGAUUCAGUGCGGUCCGGGCCCGCGGCGCCGAGGAGGAGCGUCCCCUUUCGCGGGGGCCGCCUCGUGCGCCGUCCAUCGGAGUCCGGACCGUACGCAUUUGUCUCUCGUCCCGAGGACGCCGCAGCCGGUUCGGCAGCGCAAGCGUGACGGCCUGGAGGUCGGGCGUGGCAGGUAACCGGCGGGCGCCCCCACGGCGUCUGCCGGUCUCUAGCCGCCCUUCCCGUGGCCCGUCGCCGGACCGUGGUCGUCGGGUCCCUCUGUGAUACGGGGGACCCCUCCGUCUCCUCCCCUUAAAAGGCCGUGGCCUGACGGACCGCGGCGGGGAUUCCCGAGCCGCUGCCUCGCAGUCCGUCGGAUUGGACUCUGGCGGCUCGGUGCCCCGUCCGCCGCGGCGGACAGGCUGGGGACCGGAGGCUCGCGGCGAGUAGGUCGGUCACCCACCCGACCCGUCUUGAAACACGGACCAAGGAGUCUAACAUGUGCGCGAGUCAGUGGGUCUUGAACAGGCCCACGGGCGCAAUGAAAGCGAAGGCGCGCCGGUCGUGCCGAGUCGGGAUCCCGGCACCUCUCAGUGUCGGGCGCACCGACGACCCGCCCGUCUCCGGCUCGCCGGUGGGGCGGAGUCCGAGCGCACACGUUGGGACCCGAAAGAUGGUGAACUAUGCCCGGACAGGACGACGUCAGAGGAAA